AUUCGAAAAACCCUUCUUUCCCAAUGUCGACGGAAACUGUAAACCCUGAAUUGAACGGCGAGGAGUCAUCGGAGAAGCUCCAUUCGCCGGUAAUCGUGAAAUCGGAAUUGAAUGGAGAUGACUCAUCGGAGCACCUUCAGUUGCCGGAAACUCUGAAAACUGAAUUGAAUGGCGAGGAUUCAUCGGAGCAGCUCCAUUCGUCGGCAAUCGUGAAACCGGAAUUGAACGGAGAUGAAUCAUCGGAGCUGGUUAAGUUGACGGAAGCUCUUGCGGAACCGACGGAGAAGCGAAAGCGAGAAGGAUCAGAAACAGUAACAGAAACAGAGCAAAAGCAACAAAAUCCAUUAUGGAAGACGACACUUUGUUCUUACUUUCGAAGAAAUGAUGGUUCAUGUAGCCAUGGUGAAUCCUGCCGUUACGCUCAUGGUGAAUCAGAGCUCAGGGUCCGACCCGAUAAUACAUGGGACCCGACUUCUGACCGGGCGAAGAAGAUGGCUAAGACGGCUGCUGACGACGACGGGGAGAAGGCAGAGGAUAAAGAAGAGAAGUGCAAUGACGUUAUGAUGACUGAGGCGUUAGACGAUGACGAAUGUUCUUCGGUUUCUGGGUUGUCAAAAUGCUUGGUGAACCUUCCCAUGAAGUGGAGUUCAGAUAAUUUAAGGUGUUUCCUCAAAGAACAUGGUGUUACUUUUAAAUCAGCAAAAAAGAAGAAAGGCAUGGCUGUAGGAUUUGCUACUUUUGAAAAUGCAGAACAAGUGAAAACUGCUGUGAAGGAAUUGGAUGGAAAGCCUGCUGGCAACAAGAUUUUAAAGGUUGGAGAUAUUAUUCCGCGGGCAUUUGAGAGAAAAGGUAAUUCGGCAAUGUCCUCAUUUCGCACCAAUCAACAAGGUGAAAAGCAAACCGAAGCUGGAGACGGUUUGGAUUUGACUAAAAUAUCAGAGGAAACUGAGGCUGAGGACCCAGUGACCAGUGAUUCAGUUCUGAAGGGUAGGUGUGUUCGGGAUGUGGUGACUCCUCUUGCUAAAAUGCCAUAUGCUGAUCAACUGGAGCAGAAGAAGAGCUCUUUGACGCGAACUCUUAAAACACUUACUCGAAAUGCACGUAAAGCUUGCCCGAAUGGUGUUCCACUUCCAGAAUGGAUUCUCAAAGCUAGGGAAAUAGGCGGUCUUCCAUGCGAACUAGAGGGAAUAAUUGAAUCGCCACUCAUCACUGGAUAUCGAAACAAGUGUGAGUUUUCUGCAGGAUUCUCUGUACUAGGAAAGCCAACUGUGGGAUUUCAGCUUGGAAAUUUCAGGGAGGGUGUGACAGCUGUUGAGGAACCCGUGGACUGCCCAAAUGUUUCUAGAAUUGCCUGUAAAUAUGCUGCUAUCUUUCAAGAAUUCUUACAACAGUCAACCCUACCUAUUUGGAACAGAUUGAAUAAUACCGGAUUCUGGCGUCAACUUACUGUUCGAGAAGGUCGCAUGCCUGGUAAAAAUGUAGAGGUGGAAAAUCCGAGUGCAAACAUUUCAGAGGUUAUGCUGAUUGUUCAGGUUUCCACUCUGACUUUUGACGAUGCAUUAGUCAAUGAUGAACUUCAAGGUUUGGCCAAAGCAUUUGCUAUGGGAGCUUCUAGUGCAUCACCAACAUUACCUCUUACUGCCCUGGUAGUUCAGGAUCACACUGGAAUAUCAAAUGUAGCACCAGCAGAUGCUCCUCUGCGUGUACUUCCAUUUUCCAGAGAGGAAAGCUAUUCUGAACUGCAUGCAGAUAAUGCAGUUGCUGAAGCAAAAAUUCACGAUUUUAUUAAUGGACUUAAGUUUUGUAUUUCGCCGACGGCCUUCUUUCAGGUGAACACCCUUGCUGCAGAGAAGUUAUACUCUCUUGCAGGGGACUGGGCCAGCUUGGGUCCUGAUACCUUACUUUUUGACGUUUGCUGUGGAACUGGAACAAUUGGUCUUACUCUGGCAAAUCGAGUUGGUAUGGUUGUUGGCAUUGAAAUGAAUGCUUCUGCUGUUUCUGAUGCUCAAAGAAAUGCUGAAAUCAAUGGGAUAAAGAACUGUAGAUUUAUUUGUGGAAAGGCAGAGGAUGUCAUGGGAUCUGUACUGAAAGAAUAUCUUGCUUCACCUGCGAAAGUAGAUGGACUUCUAGAUAUAGAAGAAAAGAAAAACCAAGAAAAUACUACUUCUACAGAGAAGACUGAUUCUAUAGUUAACGCAUCGAAAACAGAUGGGGAGUCAAGUACUGGGUCUGAAAAUGGUAAAAGCAUGUGCAUUGAUCAAGAUACUACACCUACUGAGAAUAUGUAUUCUACGGAUAGAGCCGCUGAACCGGAGGAAAAAACAGGCCUUGAGUGUACCAAUGGUAAAAGCUUGUCAGAAUCUUCAGCAGAUGACACUACAGAACCAGCAACCCAACUUAAGAAGUGUUCAUCAGAUAAUUUGACCACUCCAGUGCAACAUUUCAAGAAUGUUGUUGCAAUUGUAGAUCCUCCACGUGCUGGACUUCAUCCCACUGUUAUCAAACUUUUAAGGACUAACUCACGUCUAAGGAGGCUUGUUUACAUUUCCUGUAAUCCUGAAAGCUUGGUUGCAAACGCUAUUGAGCUCUGCACACCUUCUCCAGACGAAUCGGAAAAGGGGGAUAAUAGGAACAACAGAUUAUGGAGGAAGAUGAGCAGCGCUACUCUUGCACGACAUAGGACCAAAUCUAUGCCCAAUUCAGAGCCUUUUAAACCUGUCAAAGCCAUGGCUGUUGAUCUUUUUCCACAUUCUCCUCAUUGUGAACUGGUGAUGCUUUUGGAGAGGUAAAUUUAUCUGUUUCCUUAAGUGAUAAUCUUGAGUAGCCAUAUUUAUGUGAGGAAAUAGAAAUGUUCCUUUAUAUUUGUUCUCUCAAUGUGGAAAACAAGGGAUGUGCUUUCGACAAACAGUUACUAGAUAUCUGUUACUGAUGGCAGUUUUGAGGCAAUCUUUUACUCGUGGAAGAUUUCCAUAAUAUUGUUUUGUAACUUUUUCCUUAUUUUAUUACCAACUUCCAGUUCCCUGAUUCCCUGUUCGAAA
rnacentral:misc_RNA from 1 species